GACGAACGCUGGCGGCGUGCUUAACACAUGCAAGUCGAGCGAGGCCCCUCCUUCGGGAGGGUGUCCUAGCGGCGAACGGGUGAGUAACACGUGGGCAACCUGCCCUCAGCUCUGGGAUAACUCCGGGAAACCGGGGCUAAUACCGGAUACGACCUCCACGGGCAUCUUCGGAGGUGGAAAGUUUUUCGGCUGAGGAUGGGCCCGCGGCCUAUCAGCUAGUUGGUGGGGUAGUGGCCCACCAAGGCGACGACGGGUAGCCGGCCUGAGAGGGGGACCGGCCACACUGGGACUGAGACACGGCCCAGACUCCUACGGGAGGCAGCAGUGGGGAAUAUUGCGCAAUGGGCGAAAGCCUGACGCAGCGACGCCGCGUGAGGGACGAAGGCCUUCGGGUUGUAAACCUCUUUCAGCAGGGACGAAGCGAAAGUGACGGUACCUGCAGAAGAAGCACCGGCCAACUACGUG
rnacentral:rRNA from 1 species